UACGUAGGUGGCGAGCGUUGUCCGGAAUUACUGGGUGUAAAGGGAGCGUAGGCGGGAAGGCAAGUUGGAUGUGAAAUACCCGGGCUUAACCCGGGGGCUGCAUCCAAAACUGUUUUUCUUGAGUGAGGUAGAGGCAGGCGGAAUUCCCAGUGUAGCGGUGAAAUGCGUAGAUAUUGGGAGGAACACCAGUGGCGAAGGCGGCCUGCUGGGCCUUAACUGACGCUGAGGCUCGAAAGCGUGGGGAGCAAACAGG
rnacentral:rRNA from 1 species